UCAUUUGGGAAGUCAAAUUUCAACUGGGAAUAAGCUGUUGAAUUUAGAGGAGAAACUCUCUGGAAGACCAUGGAUGGCCACCAGAUACUGUCUGCAGGAAAACAAGGAAUCAGUAUGGCAGACCAGCUCGCAAUGAAAGCAGAGAGGCAGCUGGGAUGCGGACACUCACCGUCGGACCAGCGUUCUCUCGCAGGAUCUGAGCCCGACGACCGCUGGGUGCCUGGAGCCAGCCUGGGCAGGUCACUCCAUCCUCCUUGGUCUCGUCUGCAGCUGCCUGAGGAGAAGAUAAUACCUGCCCCACAGAGUUGUGUUGAGGGCAAAAACGCGUCACUGUGCAUUGUGUGUUCCAGGGACCCAGCACACAGCAAGGGUGGCGCAAGCGUGAUGAGCUACAGGCACUGGCCCCGCCUUCACGGGUCCCCUUUCCCUCUGAAUUCCGUGCUCUACCCACAAUGAACACCCUCCAGAAUCCAUAACAUGCCGUGUUUUCUUUCACUUCAGUGCUGUCCACGUGCAACUUCCUCCUACGAGGAUCAGCUUAAAGCCCUCAGACCAGCAGCCAGCUCGUGCUAACUACCAUCCCAGUGUUGGAAAUUAGGACUCUGCCUGGAAUGUUCUUUCCCAUCUCUCCUCUGUACCCCUCACCCCCACCCCUUGGCUAAUUCCCAAUCAUCUUUCCAGUCUCAGUUCAAAUAUUUCCUUCCAAGCUUACCCUCUCCCUGCAAAUGUAGUUCAGGUGUCUUUCCAGUCAAGGACACUGCUGGUUCCUGAGGGGCCUUCUGUCGCUUACAAAAAUGCUCUCCUACCCCAAGGCAGCAGUGUCUGGAGAGGGGAAUGGACUGGAUUUUGGCCUCUACUCACGCCUUUAGCCAACAGCCAGUGAACAGCACCCCAACCCCCACCAACAAAACCACACACAGCUGCCCAACUGCUCGUGAGCACCCACAGCGUUUAUCAGCCCCCGGUGCAAUCAGCCCUUGUCUGUGUCCCUCCAGAAGGAGGACUCCGCCAGGCCAUGGCUACAGCUUCUCCAAAUGGAGUCUCCGAUACCUAACACACUACUCUGCACUUCAGAGCUGCUCAGUAAAUCUUUGUUAAGUGAAUGAAUGAAUGGACCAUGGAGGAUGGACAUGGCCUUGUAUUCUUCCCCUGUGCUUAUUCUCGUCUUCCAGGGCCCCGGUGUAAACACCAAGCCCUCAACAACACAUGCUGACUUGUCACCCAUGCAUUUGUGGGGUUUGUUCUGAGUACGAGAAACGGGGAGGGAAGCUUCCAGAUCCUUUGCUCACACAGUGGAGUUCAGGCUCCAGCAGGAACAAGCACUCUGCUUUAAGGGCCCUCCGUCCAGGUGGCUUAUGGACCUCUGCAACCGCCACCCUAUUAAGCAGCAGGGAGCUGCCGAGGGCACAGCUCAGUCUGCCCAGGAGUGAAGAGAAUGUGUUACCUAAGAUUUCCCUGAAGGGUUCAGAGAGUGCCGGUUAAGGGUGCUGUCCGGCCACUGUCGCCCCGAACCAGAUGACAGUAAUCCCAAGCCACCUGCCAGGUGAGCAGGCAGGGGACACACGCACACACGUGCGUGCACGCACACACCAUUCAGUCCCAGAAGUCAGUGAGGCCCCACAUUUAGUAAGCUGCUGAUAGUUGCAUCUUCUUGAAAAGGACACAGUAAGGCAAUAAGACAAGGUAACCUGGGCAGUUAAGGGGCUGGUUUCAACGUGUCACUACGGGGGCAGGGAGGGGAGCAAGUGUGCGAGAAGCCGCACAGCCUGGCAUUGGGAGCAGAACCAUGUACACCCCGGGAAGCCUGGUCCAAGCCCUGGUUUCAUGUUAGACACAAGCCGCCUUCCCUCUUCAUCUGGGUCCCAAGAGUCGGGGAGCAGUCAAGGGGGGCCUUCUGCUCCCUGCAACUAUGCUGAGAAUAACAUCAGAGAAACAUAAAAGCUCUCUGAAAGCGGAUGAUUCCCUAAGUUAUUGUCAUUGGGUUGUCUCAUUCCUCUGUGUGGUCACCACGCUGCUCCGCGGCUCUCCCUCCAGGAGCCCCUCCUGUGGUCUUCGUCCUUCCAACGGCUCCUGACACCCCUUCUCGCUCAGCCAGUCGUGGGGGCUCCUCUAGACACAUACCCCAGCUUGAGGGCAGUGGUCACAUCAGGUAUUUUCUUGUGUCCUUAAAGCUCAGAGCCCAGCCCCUGGCCCGUAGGCUCGCGGACCCCAAGCCGGGGUGUACACACAUGCGGGUGCGCAAGUGCUUGCCCUUCUCAUCCGCCAAGGAGCUGACCACGGGGACAGCAAGUCGACCCCUUCCGGGACAGGCACCAAAGGGCAGUCGGUGUUUUCUUAUGCCAAACUGCAUUGCCCUUGAAACAGAGCUUCAAAACCUCUGCUGACGCAGUCCACCAAGUUGUGGAUACAGUUGACAGGUUAAAAUCCGAUCUGACCCACUUUAACUGACGGCGGGGAAAGGGACUUGUAGUACGAGAACACGAUCCGUGGGCCACAACGGUUACUUCAGAGACUCGUUCCAAAGAGGAGCCUGAGCAACCCCCUGUGGGCACCUGUGUACGGACCGGAGCCAUCUGGGGCUCGUAUCUGUUUUGGCUUCGGUGACUUUUAUAGAAAAAGACUUCUUAUCAAGACUAUUAUGGUCCAUUAGUUAAACCAGAUGUUAAAGCCAUGAAUCACUAAAACAAAAAAAAAAAUGGACAUACCUUGAGCAUUUUAAAAUAAGUAUAUAAACAGGUUUACUAAUAUUUUUGAGCCUACUGGUGAUCUGUCCUUUAGGUACGGGUCCAUAGAUUAAUUGCCCAAAGUCUUCUUGCAUAAAUAACAGAUUUCUAGUUUGCUUUCUUCCAAGUGGAUGAAGACCUUGAAGACAUCACACAGUAAGACACAAAGACGGCUGCAGGCAGACCCCUUCCACAGCUGCUUCUCUCCUUUCAACUUUUUAACUCUUGCCAUUGUCUUUGCACCUAGUUCACCAGCAAUUUCUUUUGUAGCAACUCACUUUUACCAAUUUUGUUGGAAACCCUCAACUUAGUUUCAUUCACACAGCAAUUAGAGGCAAUUAGGUGUUAAGCACUUGGAAGAGUGCCUGGCACCCAGGGGUGCUCAAUGCACGUUAGCUAUCUAUCCCACUCAUUCCAUUUAUGUCAUGAUCAAGUUACUCAAGUUACAACAGCAAAUUUACUGUUGCAAACAGGUAACAGCAACUUGCACAAUGGACUCCUGCUACGCACUCAGCCUUAAUGGAGGGGAAUUACUGUGCACACAAAAGUAACAUGGGCAUAGAGCAUACAGUAGCCAUUAAUGCAUUUUGCAAAAGGGAUGGAGACUAGCAAGUAAGUUAAAUGGAGAUCACGGAAGAGAGCGGCUGCUCUGAUGAAGUCCUUCCAAUCCCUUACGUUCUUCCCAACGUAGACGCCAUCGCCAACCACAGCCAAUGUGUAAAGCCACACCUGGCUUCUUGGGGAGAGCUCCAGGAACAGCAACAGUAUCGGUUUUUAUUUGUAGUGUCUGCUUCCACUUUGCAAGAUACAAAGCUAAACCUUUCUCUGCCAAGUCUCCCUAAAUUUAAGCGGGCUGGCCAAUGGCAUGUUAGAAUGGGUGGUCUGUGUUCACUUGAGUUGAGCAUUCUUUUAAUAAAGGACUUAGUUAUAAUGCUUUAGUUCUUUAGGUCUCGUUUUCAUUCUUGUAGGCCAACUGACAAUUGCCGUGGAAUUUCAGACAGAGCUAAUCCACAAUCCUGUGUACUUAAAAAUCAAAACUGACCAGCAUCCUCACCAAACCAGGCACCACACUGAAAAAGGGAUUGGUCCCCAGUGGGCCUUAAUGCUCAUGUGAAUCUCAGUGCAAAAUAGGGGAACAGGGACAGAAAGGGGCUGGCCUAAGGCCUUGGGUGAGGGCAGGAUUAGCAGGACGUGAGACCAAAUCCCGCCCUCCUGACCUCUCUCCUGUCCCAGCAGCUGCACUGCCUUCCCAUGGCCCAUGUUAGAGGUAAGUGGGGCUUAAAGAGGGCUUUACUAGGUUGAAGUCAACAUUAGAAAACGGAAUCCACCAACACGAUCCAUGGCCCUCUGCCUUGAAUAAGAAUUUACCCGAAGAAGAACAGAGGUCUUAC
rnacentral:lncRNA from 1 species